rnacentral:lncRNA from 1 species
ACUGUUUCAACCUAUGAGUCGACCAAAACAGAAGCCUUAGGCGAGAUAGACAAUGAAAGAAAGCACUGGACUUUAUUUUCUUUCUCAAAUACAAAUCUUUUGUAAAACAAGGUUAAAUAUCCUUUCAAAAGUAAGAAUAGGUCGAGGAUUUUUUUUUACCUUGAAAAGGUAAGAGGUCAACUUAGAGCAAAGCAAGCUUGCGAAGCAACCGAGGCAAGAGCGUGAAGCAGCUUUUCCCGAACCAAAGGAUCCAGGUUCUCUUGAAAGAAAAUAUCUUGAUUCCUCAGCAUCAGGCGAUGUUUCAGCCCACUCCACUUCAUUGACCGAGUUCCACUUCAUUAACCGAGACUUUCUAUUCCAAACCGGUUCGGUUAAAGACAUAGCCACGACACCAACUCUGGGCUGUCGUAAAAGAUCAAUUCCCAGAUGCUCUUACUCGACGCCCACAGGCAAGCUUGUUUAGAGAAGGAGACUUUUUUUUUUCUUCAUCAGGGAAACUGCUCAACCUCCACUAUUCCCAUAAGCAUGAUUAUGCACUAGCAGACAUAAAGUUCCAAGAAGAGAAAACGCAUAACUCAUAAGCCAAAGAUGUAUUCGAUCCUGAAUUUAACGUAAUCUUGGCCGAUUGGUUUUCAGGGGUUAGGUUUUAUGAGCAGCAUCCUCAACUCCCAGUCCCGGGUAACUAAGAGGCUUUUGAAAGGUCUUUCAAAAGUAUCACAUUAACGAAUCAAAACAGAAACGAGUCAAGUUCAUCCGCAGGGAAAGAAAAUCUAAGGAAGAAGAGUGCUUAGCUUAGGUCGACUAACCGGUUAGAUAACUUUCUUAAAGAUUGGCUGUCCUACUUACCAUGCUUUCCAUGCCAUGUGCUUCCUCCAAUACUGGAAAGGGGCUGCCUUAUAUAGUCAAGCCCGUUCCUCAACAAGCUAAUUAAGGGCGGGCAGUCUCUGUCUGUUAAAAGAAUUCGAGAUCUCGGGCGAGGAAGUAGCAAUAGUCGAAGUCAAUUAAAAUAAUUCGAGAUCUCGGGCGAGGAAGUAGCAAUAGUCAAAGUCAAAGUGGAAGGAGAACUCCAUUCGAGUAUUACGCAAACUUUUACAUGCACUUGCUCUAGCUUCUUAAGAAAGAUUGAGACUUUUAGACCAAGCUUUCUGUAAAAACAGUGGGCAGGCACUAGUUCCGGAACUUAAACUCUCGUUUGAGCAGGUGAGUCAGGAAGUGAAAGGUCUAAAGCGAUAAGGCUGAC